GUCCCUGUAGCGCAAUGGACAGCGUUUUGGAACUUCUAAUCCAAAGGUCGGUUCGAAUCCCACCUGGGAUG